rnacentral:rRNA from 1 species
GACAGAGGCCCCAAGCGUUAGGCGGAAUCACUGGGCUUAAAGCGUGUGUAGGCGGAUCGUUAAGUGUCUUGUGAAAUCCCACGGCUCACCCGUGGAACUGCUGGGCAUACUGGCGAUCUUGGGCCAACUAGGGGCAGUCGGAACAAGCGGUGGAGCGGUGAAAUGCGUAGAUAUCGCUUGGAACGCCGAAGGUGAAAACAGGACUGCUGGGGUUGCGCCGACGCUGAGACACGAAAGCCAGGGGAGCAAACGGG